rnacentral:lncRNA from 1 species
CAGAGGCUAGUAGACAGCAGAGGUUAGAAGAACCACAUGUAGAGUGUGGCAACACAACAGAGUCAGCCAGUGGAGUAUGGAGCUCUUGGUGUUGAUGAUUGUGACUCACACACCCAGAGGAAACCAUGCUCUGUGUUCAUUUAUGUUGUGCCAAAAAUAACCUUUUUAAAAUGUGUAUUCUGUUUUCAUCCUUUCCAACACAACUGUCAUGUCAAAUCAAUGUUUUAUGUUUAAUGGGCCUGACUGAUUCAGCAUGUAUCAAAUAGUAUGUAUCAAACCAUUCAUAAUGUAGCCAUUCAGUGUAUAUGAAAGCUGCCAUAGUUACCAACAUCACCUCUGGUUUAAUGACACUAAUGACUGUAAACUGGGUUUUACUAAUAUGGAGCCAAGGCUUUCACAGCAGUUAUGGACCAGUCAAUGGAGGAAUGUCUUUUAAAAAACAAAAGUAAACUGAUAUUGUGAAAGGAUGGAACCUGCAUAAAUAAUAAUCCAAAAGCAAGGGCUUUCAUUGAGGCAUUACCUAAUAACAGAUAUACGUUUUCAGCUGUUCAAGAUUGGAAAGAUACAAUAAUUCUAAAUGCACAAUUUAAGAAUAUAGAUUUCAUAUUCCAAAGAUGUAGCUAUGUCAGUGCAAAAUUAUGGUAAACUCUUGCAACAUUGCGUUGUAGAAUGUAGUGAUAGAAAUAGUUUUGGAAUAAUUGUAAGUAAAACAAUGUUGUCUUAUUUAAGUUUAUUGACAUUUGUACAAGGGCCUUACAAUUUCACAAUUUUUGACAAAGUAGCUGUGAAAAAAGCAUACUGCUAAAGGACUGCCGUGGUGGCAGAGUGUAUAUAAUGUACAUUUGUAUUGUAGUUGAGUGGACUAGUGAAAGUUGUAUCAUUGCGGUCAAAGUGCAGAACCAGCUAAAAUCUUGACUCAAAAUGCGUUGUUUUUGCACAGGAUAUUGGAAAGCCUUAGUUUGGAACACGGAUGGGGGUUUUGUUGAGAAUGAUGUAAUACAUAUUCAAUGGAUUUUUUUCAUGCCUUCAAGCUAAAUUCAGGAAUCAAGAGUUGUGCCUCUUGGGGUUCUAAAAUGUGUACUCAUGACCUUGUGACAUUACUCAAUCACAUGGACAACCAGGUAGCAGCAGCAUCACCUGCAUGAUAGGUACGACAGAAUAGACUGUAGAACUGUACUGGGCAUACCCAACAAUACUAUUAAAACACUUUGAGUGACUGCCUUUAAAUUAUGAUCAGUAUCUGUACAAAUAAUUAUUUUAGAAUGGCUUCAACCUCAAUCACUUUGUAUUUCUGGGUUGACACUAUUGCAAACCAUUGUUUUUGACUAUACAUUUUUUUUAAAUCAACGCUGUCUUUAAAUGCUCCUGAGUGGCGCAGUGGUAUAAGUCACUGCAUCUCAGUGCAAGAGGUGUCACUACAGUCCCUGGUUCAAUUCCAGACUGUAUCACAUCUGGCUGUGAUUGGGAGUCCCAUAGGGCGGCUCACAAUUGGCCCAGCGUCGUCCGAAUUUUGCCGGGGUAGGCCGUCAUUGUAAAUAAGAAUUUGUUCUUAACUGACUUGCCUAUUUAAAUAAAGGUAGUGUAUAUAUAUUUACAACUGAAACAUUUAAAAUGUAUGAUUUGUAUUUUGUUACAAACAUUGCAAAAGUUUAGAAAUGGCAGCUUGGAUCUGUUGAGUAAAGUGGUUGUUAUCUAAAAUCUAAACAAUAAUACAUUAGCAAAAUGCAGAACAAAAUCACCCUGAAUAUCUAGCAUACUAGGUUCAGACAUGCACGAUACAAAUCUCUUUCGUUUGAUCACCGCUCCAAAUUGAUAUAUACUUGCAUAAGGUUUUUGAGACUGUAGUUAUAAGCUUCUACUGAGUUGCAGUAAGGCACCUCUGUCACUUGAAGAACCACUUCAGUCAAGGCUUCUAUAUGUGACAGUGCACCAGGUUUCUCUGACUCGUGUCAAAAUGUCUUGUAAGUUUGUAUGUAAAGUGUUUUGUAAAUUGAGCUGCCAAUGUAAAAAGCUGUUGUGAACUGUAUUUUUUGUAUUAUACGUCACUACUGUUUCAGUUGUUUUUGUUGUUCUGUACAUAAAAGCACCUUAUUUUAAUUUUUCAAAUAAAGAUAAAUGGUUACA